rnacentral:tRNA from 1 species
GCCUGGACAGCUCAGUCGGUUGAGCGUCUGACUUCAGCUCAGGUCAUGAUCUCACGCUUCGUGGGUUUGAGUCCUGCGUUGGGCC